GGACGCAUAGCUCAGCUGGUUAGAGCGCUUGGUUUACAUCCAAGAGGCCCGAGGUUCGAAUCCUCGUGCGUCCACCA
rnacentral:tRNA from 1 species